UUAAGCGACUAAGCGUACACGGUGGAUGCCCUGGCAGUCAGAGGCGAUGAAGGACGUGCUAAUCUGCGAUAAGCGUCGGUAAGGUGAUAUGAACCGUUAUAACCGGCGAUUUCCGAAUGGGGAAACCCAGUGUGAUUCGUCACACUAUCAUUAACUGAAUCCAUAGGUUAAUGAGGCGAACCGGGGGAACUGAAACAUCUAAGUACCCCGAGGAAAAGAAAUCAACCGAGAUUCCCCCAGUAGCGGCGAGCGAACGGGGAGGAGCCCAGAGCCUGAAUCAGUGUGUGUGUUAGUGGAAGCGUCUGGAAAGGCGCGCGAUACAGGGUGACAGCCCCGUACACAAAAAUGCACAUGCUGUGAGCUCGAUGAGUAGGGCGGGACACGUGGUAUCCUGUCUGAAUAUGGGGGGACCAUCCUCCAAGGCUAAAUACUCCUGACUGACCGAUAGUGAACCAGUACCGUGAGGGAAAGGCGAAAAGAACCCCGGCGAGGGGAGUGAAAAAGAACCUGAAACCGUGUACGUACAAGCAGUGGGAGCACAGAGCAAUCUGUGUGACUGCGUACCUUUUGUAUAAUGGGUCAGCGACUUAUAUUCUGUAGCAAGGUUAACCGAAUAGGGGAGCCGAAGGGAAACCGAGUCUUAACUGGGCGUUAAGUUGCAGGGUAUAGACCCGAAACCCGGUGAUCUAGCCAUGGGCAGGUUGAAGGUUGGGUAACACUAACUGGAGGACCGAACCGACUAAUGUUGAAAAAUUAGCGGAUGACUUGUGGCUGGGGGUGAAAGGCCAAUCAAACCGGGAGAUAGCUGGUUCUCCCCGAAAGCUAUUUAGGUAGCGCCUCGUGAAUUCAUCUCCGGGGGUAGAGCACUGUUUCGGCAAGGGGGUCAUCCCGACUUACCAACCCGAUGCAAACUGCGAAUACCGGAGAAUGUUAUCACGGGAGACACACGGCGGGUGCUAACGUCCGUCGUGAAGAGGGAAACAACCCAGACCGCCAGCUAAGGUCCCAAAGUCAUGGUUAAGUGGGAAACGAUGUGGGAAGGCCCAGACAGCCAGGAUGUUGGCUUAGAAGCAGCCAUCAUUUAAAGAAAGCGUAAUAGCUCACUGGUCGAGUCGGCCUGCGCGGAAGAUGUAACGGGGCUAAACCAUGCACCGAAGCUGCGGCAGCGACACUGUGUGUUGUUGGGUAGGGGAGCGUUCUGUAAGCCUGUGAAGGUGUGCUGUGAGGCAUGCUGGAGGUAUCAGAAGUGCGAAUGCUGACAUAAGUAACGAUAAAGCGGGUGAAAAGCCCGCUCGCCGGAAGACCAAGGGUUCCUGUCCAACGUUAAUCGGGGCAGGGUGAGUCGACCCCUAAGGCGAGGCCGAAAGGCGUAGUCGAUGGGAAACAGGUUAAUAUUCCUGUACUUGGUGUUACUGCGAAGGGGGGGACGGAGAAGGCUAUGUUGGCCGGGCGACGGUUGUCCCGGUUUAAGCGUGUAGGCUGGUUUUCCAGGCAAAUCCGGAAAAUCAAGGCUGAGGCGUGAUGACGAGGCACUACGGUGCUGAAGCAACAAAUGCCCUGCUUCCAGGAAAAGCCUCUAAGCAUCAGGUAACAUCAAAUCGUACCCCAAACCGACACAGGUGGUCAGGUAGAGAAUACCAAGGCGCUUGAGAGAACUCGGGUGAAGGAACUAGGCAAAAUGGUGCCGUAACUUCGGGAGAAGGCACGCUGAUAUGUAGGUGAAGUCCCUCGCGGAUGGAGCUGAAAUCAGUCGAAGAUACCAGCUGGCUGCAACUGUUUAUUAAAAACACAGCACUGUGCAAACACGAAAGUGGACGUAUACGGUGUGACGCCUGCCCGGUGCCGGAAGGUUAAUUGAUGGGGUCAGCGCAAGCGAAGCUCUUGAUCGAAGCCCCGGUAAACGGCGGCCGUAACUAUAACGGUCCUAAGGUAGCGAAAUUCCUUGUCGGGUAAGUUCCGACCUGCACGAAUGGCGUAAUGAUGGCCAGGCUGUCUCCACCCGAGACUCAGUGAAAUUGAACUCGCUGUGAAGAUGCAGUGUACCCGCGGCAAGACGGAAAGACCCCGUGAACCUUUACUAUAGCUUGACACUGAACAUUGAGCCUUGAUGUGUAGGAUAGGUGGGAGGCUUUGAAGUGUGGACGCCAGUCUGCAUGGAGCCGACCUUGAAAUACCACCCUUUAAUGUUUGAUGUUCUAACGUGGACCCGUGAUCCGGGUUGCGGACAGUGUCUGGUGGGUAGUUUGACUGGGGCGGUCUCCUCCUAAAGAGUAACGGAGGAGCACGAAGGUUGGCUAAUCCUGGUCGGACAUCAGGAGGUUAGUGCAAUGGCAUAAGCCAGCUUGACUGCGAGCGUGACGGCGCGAGCAGGUGCGAAAGCAGGUCAUAGUGAUCCGGUGGUUCUGAAUGGAAGGGCCAUCGCUCAACGGAUAAAAGGUACUCCGGGGAUAACAGGCUGAUACCGCCCAAGAGUUCAUAUCGACGGCGGUGUUUGGCACCUCGAUGUCGGCUCAUCACAUCCUGGGGCUGAAGUAGGUCCCAAGGGUAUGGCUGUUCGCCAUUUAAAGUGGUACGCGAGCUGGGUUUAGAACGUCGUGAGACAGUUCGGUCCCUAUCUGCCGUGGGCGCUGGAGAACUGAGGGGGGCUGCUCCUAGUACGAGAGGACCGGAGUGGACGCAUCACUGGUGUUCGGGUUGUCAUGCCAAUGGCACUGCCCGGUAGCUAAAUGCGGAAGAGAUAAGUGCUGAAAGCAUCUAAGCACGAAACUUGCCCCGAGAUGAGUUCUCCCUGACCCUUUAAGGGUCCUGAAGGAACGUUGAAGACGACGACGUUGAUAGGCCGGGUGUGUAAGCGCAGCGAUGCGUUGAGCUAACCGGUACUAAUGAACCGUGAGGCUUAACCU
rnacentral:rRNA from 1 species